UACGAAGGGGGCUAGCGUUGCUCGGAAUCACUGGGCGUAAAGCGCAUGUCGGCGGCUUUUUAAGUCAGGGGUGAAAUCCUGGAGCUCAACUCCAGAACUGCCUUUGAUACUGGGAAGCUUGAGUCCGGAAGAGGUGAGUGGAACUCCGAGUGUAGAGGUGAAAUUCGUAGAUAUUCGGAAGAACACCAGUGGCGAAGGCGGCUCACUGGUCCGGUACUGACGCUGAGGUGCGAAAGCGUGGGGAGCAAACAGG
rnacentral:rRNA from 1 species